rnacentral:ncRNA from 2 species
AUGCUUCCGCCCGUCAUCGGUGCCGCGCAAGCGGACCAGAAGGGAAUGCGGUGUGGCGCGCAAGCGCCGAAGCCGCGGCUGCCCCCGCAACUGUAGGCGGAGAGCUUUUUCCGACGACGCCACUGGAGCUUCCGCUCUGGGAAGGCAGGAAGAAGCGCAGAUCCGCAAGCCAGGAAACCUGCCGGUGACGGAAACAGAAA